rnacentral:rRNA from 1 species
GAUCAUGGCUCAGGAUGAACGCUAGCUACAGGCUUAACACAUGCAAGUCGAGGGGCAGCAUGGUCUUAGCUUGCUAAGGCCGAUGGCGACCGGCGCACGGGUGAGUAACACGUAUCCAACCUGCCGUCUACUCUUGGACAGCCUUCUAGAAAGGAAGAUUAAUACAAGAUGGCAUCAUGAGUCCACAUGUUCACAUGAAUUAAAGGUAUUCCGGUAGACGAGUGGGGA